rnacentral:rRNA from 1 species
UACGUAGGUGGCGAGCGUUGUCCGGAUUUACGUGGCGUAAAGGAUGCGUAGGCGGAUAUUUAAGUGAGAUGUGAAAUACCCGAGCUUAACUUGGGUGCUGCAUUUCAAACUGGAUAGUCUAGAGGUGCGGGAGAGGAAGAAUGGAAUUCCUAGUGUAGCGGAUGAAAUGCGUAGAAGUGUAGGAAGAACACCGUGGCGAAGCG